rnacentral:sRNA from 1 species
GCUGGUGUGGUGGUGUACACCUAUAAUCUCAGUGACCUAGGAGGCUGAGGCAGGAGGAUUGCAAGUUCAAGGCCAGCCUGGGCAAUUUAGCAAGACUCUGUCUCAA